rnacentral:rRNA from 1 species
AUUGAACGCUGGCGGCAGGCCUAACACAUGCAAGUCGAACGAGUGGCCGACGGGUGAGUAAUGUCUGGGAAACUGCCUGAUGGAGGGGGAUAACUACUGGAAACGGUAGCUAAUCCCGCAUACCAUCAGAUGUGCCCAGAUGGGCUUAGCUUGGUGGUUGUGUAACUGCUCAACAAGGCGACGAUCCCUAGCUGGUCUGAGAGGAUGACCAGCCACACUUGAACUGUGACCCGGUCCAGACUCCUACGGGAGGCAGCAGUGGGGAAUAUUGCACAAUGGGAGCAAGCCUGAUGCAGCCAUGCCGCGUGUAUGAAUAAGGCCUUCGGGUUGUAAAGUACUUUCAGCGGGGAGGCGUUACCCGCAGAAGAAGCACCGGCUAACUCCGUGCCAGCAGCCGCGGUAAUAC